GAUGAAGAACGCAGCGAAAUGCGAUAAGUAAUGUGAAUUGCAGAAUUCAGUGAAUCAUCGAAUCUUUGAACGCACAUUGCGCCCCCUGGUAUUCCGGGGGGCAUGCCUGUCCGAGCGUCAUUACAACCCUCAAGCUCAGCUUGGUGUUGGGCCCCGCCGCCCCGGCGGGCCCUAAAGUCAGUGGCGGUGCCGUCCGGCUCCGAGCGUAGUAAUUCUUCUCGCUCUGGAGGUCCGGUCGUGUGCUCGCCAGCAACCCCAAUUUUUUUCAGGUUGACCUCGGAUCAGGUAGGGAUACCCGCUGAACUUAAGCAUAUCAUAAGCGGAGGA
rnacentral:misc_RNA from 1 species